ensembl:lncRNA
CUUGAAAGCACCAUGUUAAGGUGCAAGAAGGCUACAGCAAGUUAUGAGUGAAGGGCAGGCUGCGCUGUCUCUUGGAUACUGGGAGUGUUUAGGAACAGAGGGAUGGUUUGGCUAUGGACAUCAAUCUGUUACAGUAAGGGAUAUGGGAUCUGCCCUUGUUGUCACCCAGCUGCUCAUUACAAUUCCUCUACUUGAAGUCCUCUUGCAGUCUGAGUCACUGGGAGUCCCCGAGAGUUUCUGGAUGGAGUUGAAGCCUGGACCUCCUGGCCCUAACGUCAUGCAGCCUUGGUCCACAAGGGACAGACCGUUGUGUUUCUCACCAUGGUUCACCACAGCCAGCACACUGGAGUACCAUCAGUGCAAAAAGAGAUGGGCUGCUCAUCCCUGUAAAGGCCCCCAGCUGUACAUGAAAUUGAUCCAAAAACAUUUAGGGGAAGGGAACCAACACUUCUCUACUGGAAAUGUAUCAAAGGGCAAUAUCCAGCACCUUGUAUCAUCUGGCUUACUAAUGCUACAUGUUCUUUCCAGGUCUUCUGUCAAAAUAGAUGCAGGACAAAAGAGAUUAUUUUUGAUGCUCCUCUGCAUGCUCCAGCUGUGCAGAUAGAGAAGCUCCAGGAGUGACCAAGGGAAAAAGCUUUGUGUUGUGAAUUGAUUUCUUCGAUGUCUCAUCACAUAUAAGGUCAAGUAUCAGCCUUGUCCUCAGGAAUGGCAUAAGGACAAUUUAUUUUCUUCAUCUAGACAACUGUUUUUUUCUGAAACAUGAUUAUUAUUAUUAUUUUUAAGUCUAUGAGACUUCUCCUCCCUGGUUAAUGUUGGUUAAAACCGAGCAAGAGGAUCAACAGCUAAGGGCUGGGAGUGGUAGAGGCACAUGCAUAUGCAUAUAAACAGUAAAGCAACAUGUAGCGUGACAUUGUAAGCCUCCUCUUCACAAAUGCUGACAAAUGAUGGACUUUGCUGCCCAAGGCUAGAAGUCUAUCAUCGGCCACAGCAAAUAAAUAAAUAAAUAAGUUGCUCUAGUAAGGAGGCUUUAGUAAAACAAUAAUUAUGCUCUGUUUCUUCCCCAGUAAAUAAAUAAACUAAAAAUCUGUUUGAAAUUUUUAAAAAGCAAAUUCAGCAAGUCUUUCAAAGAGAACAUCACAAAGCUACAAUGUUAGCAACGCUGGUCUCAGUCAAGACAGAGCUUUUAAGAAGUUGGAGUAUUUAUAAACUGCCACAUAAACUGAUAAGUCUGGAUGAUUUUAUGUACCAUAAUUGCUCUUUGCUACAUCUCAGGGAACACAGAGGGGAACAUGAAGCUUCCCAUCAAGUUAUUUGUCAGUAUAAGGGAACAUUUAACGGGAAAAUAAAAUAGUUAACAACCUUUAAAACAAGCUGAAAACUUUAAAGUAAUGGAUGCCUUUAAAAACUUCAGGAGUUAGUUCUUUAUGGGAAACUCAGAAUUUAAAAAAAAAAAAAUGUUUGGAGUAAAGUCAAAAUGUUAUGAGCAGUGCUCUGCUGUAAUGACACAUAUCAGCAGUAUUUGUAACCAGAAGAACAACGUGAUAACUUUUAAUCGCAAGGGACCGGGCUUUGUGGGAAGUGCCUAAUACACAGACAUCCUUUAUAGGUUUCCAGUUAUGACCUAUGUCUAAGAGACAUUUUAAUGAUAACUAAAGAAAGUAGAUGGAUUGUCUUCCCAGAGUGUUGAAGGUCCUGCUUGUUGUCAUCCGCAGCUUCUAUAAAGACCAGAGAUUUUCAAAGGUACUCUUCUGUCCUGCUAUCAGCACGCAAUACCUCGAGGAUGGGACUAUCUAAGAUAAAACAUGCCAGAGACAUGUACUCCUCAGGAUUUCCUGUGGGAGUCUGACCAAAAGAAGGCAAUAUUAAUAAAUAUAAAUUCUGGAACAUUAUUAUCACCAGAACUGUGUCAUGCAGUUUACCCUUGAAUUCUUAUAACCCCUCUAGUUUCUCAGGCAGUUCAAACAUUUAACUGCAACUGGUAAUAGUGUGAGACCUCCCCACUGGGACAAUUGUUUUCAAUUACAUUAAAGGCUCAAAGACUGUGAUAGACAUGCCAAAGCAAGGAGUUUAGCUUGCGGAAUGUUUUAACUCUUUGAACUGAUGUGGGAUAUGGGAGUCCCUGGCCCCUGAAAAUCCUUAAAGAAUAGAUGCAAUCUGAAAGCAGAUUACUGCCAAAAAAAUAUGUAACAGCCCUCCCUUUGAGGAUGCUGUUGCUUUUUUUAUUUUCACUUUCUUGGAAGUGGUAGUUUUGUGGAUCUUUGGAGCAAUCUUUACUUUCUGUUCUUAUUAGGGGCAUCUCUUGGCAGAACAAUGGAAAUACCAGUACUUGAAUAUUUGAAAUAUUGUUCUAAAAAGGAAAAAGAAAUAGAGAGCAAAAUAACACUCUUUUAGAAAUGCUGAUCUUGCAGGUUUUUGGGGGUCAAAGCCUGGUGCACUGUGCAACGUGGCAUUUAUCAUUCUGAUUACAGGAACCUACAGGACAACUUCUCUCAAAGGUUUGUUUUUCAAAAGUUGCUCUAAAUCCUUCAUAUUGCACAACAAUUUGGACACUCUCUGCUGCUGCAGACUAACAGGUCCAUCCCAUUGAUUGUUGUUUUGGAAGCUCAAGAACUCAAGUAACCGUUUGGUUCCAUACCAGUCCUUUCUUAUAUAAGUUUUUAUUAAGGUAUGGGUGAUGGCAGUACUGCCAAUCUUGCAUGCUUUGGGAUGGUUGCCACUGGCUACUGCUAUCUCCUCUUCCAUUCUAAUUCACCCAAAUAAUAAUAGCAAAUAAAAAGUAGUUUUCAUCAAGUCAUGCUAGCUCAGUAGAAUGGUAGCUUCUAGACUGGAAACAUAGCUUUAAAGACAGCUGUGAGUGGGUGGAUCACACUCUAAUAUUAUAUCUCAGCUCUGUUGAAAAUAACUUUCUUCAUCAUUUCCUAGGAAAGGACUGAUUAAAUCUCUGCACAAGUACAUUUGCAACAUUCUUUGUCUUGCUCAUUCCAAAUGGAAAGCUAGAGCCUGCCUUUCAGGCAACACGAUAGUUUUGUUGUUCAGAGUGGACUGUGCUGUUCUUUUUGAUGAAAUGAGCAUUGGAAAGCAACUAAAAGCUUAGCUGUAAAUAAAUGUCAUAUACAUAAAUGCUUUCAGAAAGAAGAUUUCAUGAUUUUUGCUUUCACAAAGAUCAUCUGAACUGUGUAAAACAUAAACAAUACCUGAUAAUGAAACGCCGUUAUUUCAAAGUUGACAUCACAUCUGACUCAAAUGAUGACUUUUCGAUUUGGAUUAAAUAUAGUUUAUUGGAAGGUUUUAGUAUAACUCCUUAACUAUCUAGGACACAAGAUAAACAUAACAAACAUAACAUUUAUCUUACAACUAAAAUGCUGAUAAAUAAAAUUUAGAUAGUUAAGAAAUAUCUUUCUCUGUUUCUUUAAUUCGUUAUAUUAUAUAUUUGAGAGCAUUUUUUGUAUAGAAAAGUCACUGUUAUACAUGUUAAGAUGAUCAGCUCAUCCUCUUAUUGUUUACAUGGGUUUUUAUA